ACGCACGCUGGCGGCGUGCUUAACACAUGCCAGUCGAACGGAAAGGCCCUGCUUUUGUGGGGUGCUCGAGUGGCGAACGGGUGAGUAACACGUGAGUAACCUGCCCUUGACUUUGGGAUAACUUCAGGAAACUGGGGCUAAUACCGGAUAGGAGCUCCUGCUGCAUGGUGGGGGUUGGAAAGUUUCGGCGGUUGGGGAUGGACUCGCGGCUUAUCAGCUUGUUGGUGGGGUAGUGGCUUACCAAGGCUUUGACGGGUAGCCGGCCUGAGAGGGUGACCGGCCACAUUGGGACUGAGGUACGGCCCAGACGCCUACGGGAGGCAGCAGUGGGGAAUAUUGCACAAUGGGCGGAAGCCUGAGGCAGCAACGCCGCGUGCGGGAUGACGGCCUUCGGGUUGUAAACCGCUUUCGCCUGUGACGAAGCGUGAGUGACGGUAAUGGGUAAAGAAGCACCGGCUAACUACGUG
rnacentral:rRNA from 1 species